CUCCUCCAUAUUUUGAUUUUUUGCCAGAUUUUCGGAAUUCUCUGGUUUUAUCCAUGUAUUGUCAUUAAAAAAUUUUGCCCACUAACCCCUACUUUUCAUUUCAUAAUUUUAUUACAUAAAGUUUAAAGAGCCAUUUUUCAAAAUUUUAUAAAAUUCUUGUUAUUUUUUCAUAGUUUUUGAAACAAAUAAGGUGCCAAUGUUGAAUAUAUGAAAAACCUAGAGAGAAUUAAUUCCCGCCAAAUUUUCAAUGGCUUAUAUCUCGAAAACGAGCGCACGGACCCUCCAUUUUUUCUACUUUUUUAGUUUCUUUAUUUAUAUACUAUCAAUUCAUAAUAGUCUUUUAAAAAGCUUGUUAUUUUUUAACAGAGUAGCGAAC
rnacentral:lncRNA from 1 species